GUUCAAACUGAGGUUCUAAUGCUUAAAUCCUUCUAAAAUUCCCAACCCUAAGCUAAACUAACCAUACCUUGAUCGCUCGUCCUUCUGCUAAAGUUGAAAUUUAGAAAGCAUACACUUUUUAGAUUCACUCGACUUCAAACCGUUGGACUCCACGGUGUUCAUAACUCUUUAACUGCAACAUAGAUUUCAUCUACCGAGGGAUAUCCUCUAGGAUAUGCUUUGUCAACUCACUCACAACCAAAGCCAAUCCUUGGUGGAGUCCAACUGUGAAAGUGAAA
rnacentral:misc_RNA from 1 species